rnacentral:rRNA from 1 species
GGUUAAGCGACUAAGCGUACACGGUGGAUGCCCUGGCAGUCAGAGGCGAUGAAGGACGUGCUAAUCUGCGAUAAGCGCCGGUAAGGUGAUAUGAACCGUUAUAACCGGCGAUUUCCGAAUGGGGAAACCCAGUGUGAUUCGUCACACUAUCAUUAACUGAAUCCAUAGGUUAAUGAGGCGAACCGGGGGAACUGAAACAUCUAAGUACCCCGAGGAAAAGAAAUCAACCGAGAUUCCCCCAGUAGCGGCGAGCGAACGGGGAGGAGCCCAGAGCCUGAAUCAGCAUGUGUGUUAGUGGAAGCGUCUGGAAAGGCGCGCGAUACAGGGUGACAGCCCCGUACACAAAAGCGCAUGUGCUGUGAGCUCGAUGAGUAGGGCGGGACACGUGGUAUCCUGUCUGAAUAUGGGGGGACCAUCCUCCAAGGCUAAAUACUCCUGACUGACCGAUAGUGAACCAGUACCGUGAGGGAAAGGCGAAAAGAACCCCGGCGAGGGGAGUGAAAAAGAACCUGAAACCGUGUACGUACAAGCAGUGGGAGCCCCACCACUAAGCCAGUGGUGAACUCCACAUACGCAUCCUUUGCUGAGGAUACGGUUAACGGAGCGAAAGCGACGUUCAACCUCAAAAGAAGCAGAGGGGGCUUAGUGGUGGGGUGACUGCGUACCUUUUGUAUAAUGGGUCAGCGACUUAUAUUCUGUAGCAAGGUUAACCGUAUAGGGGAGCCGGAGGGAAACCGAGUCUUAAUUGGGCGUUAAGUUGCAGGGUAUAGACCCGAAACCCGGUGAUCUAGCCAUGGGCAGGUUGAAGGUUGGGUAACACUAACUGGAGGACCGAACCGACUAAUGUUGAAAAAUUAGCGGAUGACCUGUGGCUGGGGGUGAAAGGCCAAUCAAACCGGGAGAUAGCUGGUUCUCCCCGAAAGCUAUUUAGGUAGCGCCUCGUGAAUUCAUCUUCGGGGGUAGAGCACUGUUUCGGCUAGGGGGUCAUCCCGACUUACCAACCCGAUGCAAACUGCGAAUACCGGAGAAUGUUAUCACGGGAGACACACGGCGGGUGCUAACGUCCGUCGUGAAGAGGGAAACAACCCAGACCGCCAGCUAAGGUCCCAAAGUCAUGGUUAAGUGGGAAACGAUGUGGGAAGGCCCAGACAGCCAGGAUGUUGGCUUAGAAGCAGCCAUCAUUUAAAGAAAGCGUAAUAGCUCACUGGUCGAGUCGGCCUGCGCGGAAGAUGUAACGGGGCUAAACCAUGCACCGAAGCUGCGGCAGCGAACGUAUCACUUAAAGCGAUUCAGCGGGUUACGAUUGACGGAGCGAAGCGACGUCAAAGCGUAUACAAAGUCGAGUCGGUUUAAGGAUACGUUCGUUGGGUAGGGGAGCGUUCUGUAAGCCUGCGAAGGUGGCCUGUGAGGGUUGCUGGAGGUAUCAGAAGUGCGAAUGCUGACAUAAGUAACGAUAAAGCGGGUGAAAAGCCCGCUCGCCGGAAGACCAAGGGUUCCUGUCCAACGUUAAUCGGGGCAGGGUGAGUCGACCCCUAAGGCGAGGCCGAAAGGCGUAGUCGAUGGGAAACGGGUUAAUAUUCCCGUACUUGGUGUUACUGCGAAGGGGGGACGGAGAAGGCUAUGUUGGCCGGGCGACGGUUGUCCCGGUUUAAGCGUGUAGGUGUGUGUUCCAGGUAAAUCCGGUUCACUUUAACACUGAGGCGUGACGACGAGGCACUACGGUGCUGAAGCAACAAAUGCCCUGCUUCCAGGAAAAGCCUCUAAGCAUCAGGUAACACGAAAUCGUACCCCAAACCGACACAGGUGGUCAGGUAGAGAAUACCAAGGCGCUUGAGAGAACUCGGGUGAAGGAACUAGGCAAAAUGGUGCCGUAACUUCGGGAGAAGGCACGCUGACACGUAGGUGAAGUGAUUUACUCACGGAGCUGAAGUCAGUCGAAGAUACCAGCUGGCUGCAACUGUUUAUUAAAAACACAGCACUGUGCAAACACGAAAGUGGACGUAUACGGUGUGACGCCUGCCCGGUGCCGGAAGGUUAAUUGAUGGGGUCAGCGCAAGCGAAGCUCCUGAUCGAAGCCCCGGUAAACGGCGGCCGUAACUAUAACGGUCCUAAGGUAGCGAAAUUCCUUGUCGGGUAAGUUCCGACCUGCACGAAUGGCGUAAUGAUGGCCAGGCUGUCUCCACCCGAGACUCAGUGAAAUUGAACUCGCUGUGAAGAUGCAGUGUACCCGCGGCAAGACGGAAAGACCCCGUGAACCUUUACUAUAGCUUGACACUGAACAUUGAGCCUUGAUGUGUAGGAUAGGUGGGAGGCUUUGAAGCGUGGACGCCAGUCUGCGUGGAGCCGACCUUGAAAUACCACCCUUUAAUGUUUGAUGUUCUAACGUGGACCCGUAAUCCGGGUUGCGGACAGUGUCUGGUGGGUAGUUUGACUGGGGCGGUCUCCUCCUAAAGAGUAACGGAGGAGCACGAAGGUUGGCUAAUCCUGGUCGGACAUCAGGAGGUUAGUGCAAUGGCAUAAGCCAGCUUGACUGCGAGCGUGACGGCGCGAGCAGGUGCGAAAGCAGGUCAUAGUGAUCCGGUGGUUCUGAAUGGAAGGGCCAUCGCUCAACGGAUAAAAGGUACUCCGGGGAUAACAGGCUGAUACCGCCCAAGAGUUCAUAUCGACGGCGGUGUUUGGCACCUCGAUGUCGGCUCAUCACAUCCUGGGGCUGAAGUAGGUCCCAAGGGUAUGGCUGUUCGCCAUUUAAAGUGGUACGCGAGCUGGGUUUAGAACGUCGUGAGACAGUUCGGUCCCUAUCUGCCGUGGGCGCUGGAGAACUGAGGGGGGCUGCUCCUAGUACGAGAGGACCGGAGUGGACGCAUCACUGGUGUUCGGGUUGUCAUGCCAAUGGCACUGCCCGGUAGCUAAAUGCGGAAGAGAUAAGUGCUGAAAGCAUCUAAGCACGAAACUUGCCCCGAGAUGAGUUCUCCCUGAGACUUAGAGUCUCCUGAAGGAACGUUGAAGACGACGACGUUGAUAGGCCGGGUGUGUAAGCGCAGCGAUGCGUUGAGCUAACCGGUACUAAUGAACCGUGAGGCUUAACCUU